UUUGCCAUUGCGAUGUAUUUUAUGGAAUUAAGUAUCGAAUAUUUAUUUCCCAUGUGCAAUUUUGCAUUACACUUUACAGUAUGUACAUGUACGUGCGUUAUGUAUGCGAGAAGCUGCGCAGAUUAUUCGAUAGGUUUUUGUUUGGAAUGUGUUAGGUUCGCAUUUGAGAUGUGGCUCAGGCUCAGACUAAAAUUCAUCAAUACGCUCGAUGCUGUAUGAAAUGAGAUUAAUAAAAUAUUCAUAAUAAUGUGUGUAUUGGUGUGUAGUAAUCACAUAGUGUUUCACUGCUUCUGAGAAAGCUUGUGCUACGAUAUUGGGUGCGAGUUGAGUUGAAUUGAAUUGAAUGAAACGAUCAAACAAGUAGAAUUGGUGACUUAUUUAUUGUAAUUGUUCAGAUAUUCUAAAUGGUGCUUCAAGUUUCUUUUUCAUUUUGAUAAUUCCAAUCCGAGUUGGUCAGGUUUCGUGUCUUACUUUGAAAAUUUGGUAGGUAAUACUUUGUCGUGUGGUUCAAUUAUGCACCUUUUUCAUAAUUUUUAGUCGACGUUUUGUAUACGAAAGUGAAGUAUUACCUAUGUAGGUAAUUCAUUUCGAUUGUGAUGGCCUGAUGGUAGUCGGCGUUGGAAUCCGAUUCAAUGGUAAGCUUUAAUGAGAUGGUAUAUUUUAAUUCGCAAGUAAUAAUGUCUCUGGUUUCAUUUCCAUGUUCAUCGAUCGAAUCUUCCCGUUUACAUAAGUAUGUCUCGGUGUACCUACCUAGUACCUACAUACCUGCAAUAAUUAGAUAAAAAUUGUUCAAAUGUUAGAAAUAUUUUAAUUCGCAAGGUUCGCAAGUAAUAGUAUGUUUAGUUUCAUUUUCACGAUUUCACGUUCGUCGAUCGAAUCUUUCAGUUUAGGCUAUGUCUCAGUGUACCAAAAUUCUACGUUCUAUUCGAAAAAAUUGUUCAAUAACAUAAUUCGUAAGUCUAAGUACGUAGGCUAUGUAAAUACAUAAUGUAUUUUACGUAAUACACACUCGUAAUCUCAUCAUUACACGUCUGUCGCUAGAUGCAAAAUGUACGUCAUUAUGAGCGACCUAAUGCCGGGUCAAACACGUACAUAAUAGCCGUAUUAUGUACGUGGUGUUAUGUGGCAACGCCGCGAAACUCCUCAUUACGUACGCGUUACGUUUGGACAUAAUUUAACCGGUGAACUGGUGAAGUUUGGUCACUCAUAGACGCACAUUUUUUGCAUCUAAACAACAGAAGUGUAAAAUGGUGAGGUUACGAGUGUUUAUUAUGUAAAGCACCUUACAUUACGCGAUUAAUAAAGUGUGUGAUUAUGAACUCGUGCAAAGUUACAGCGCUCGUCUUCGACUCGCGCAGUAACUUUGCACUCGUUCAUAAUCACCCACAUUAUUAAUCUAGUAAUGUAAUGUACUAUUUGGUUUCAUUUUCAUAAUAUGUAUUUCGUGUCUCCGUAGUCGGUAUUAUUCAUUAUCGGAAGCGCGGCGCGGUGGCGGCGGCGACAGUGACAUCCAAUCAACCAAUUCGAAGGCGAAGCUGUUCGCAGCUCGCAUUCCUCUCCUUUCCGGUCCCUCUAGGCGAACAUUUGCGAACAGUAGAUUAGAUGAGCUUGCUUAUAUCGUGAUCAUUGGUCAUCUAUCGCCAUCUUUUUUCUUCGUUUUUGAAUUAUUGAAUAUUAUGAGUUCGUUUAUUCGUUUAACCGUGGUGUACAAUGGUGUACCUGAUGAUAUCUGAAUGCAAUUUUUCCUUCAGUUUGGUUUUAUGACAUUUAAUUAUCGUACUGUCUCGUAAUCGAACGGUUUCUUCCCUUUCAGUCUGCAUUUGCGAUACCAGUGGCUUUUUCACUUCGUUCGAAUGAAUUGGUUUCAAUGAGUUAUUUUUGGGUCGUAUCUAUGCAUCUCAUAUUUAAUUGGACAAAAAUCUUGCACAAUGAUGUUCACUCGGCGCGGCGUGUGCCGUUUGGGUUUGCUGUUAGACUUCCCAAUCAUCUGGAAUAUCUUGAGUAGGCCUACAAUUUGUUGUGAAAGAGCUCCGCCGCUCUGUAUUGAAAGUUCGAAACCAGAAUAACAAGAGGUUCAAUUUAUUUAUGCCGGUCUACUCGUUGUGUUACUACACCGCUGAAAUGUGCGUUUAUGGAAGAAGGAAGACCUAACAUGUUCGCUUGUUUGCAUCAGAUUUUUGAAUUGAUGUAAUUUGCAAAAUGAAGUCAUCGUAGUUAUUUUACCGAGUGAAGAUCUCGAAUAAUCGAUCGCCAGCGAUUGGAAAAAACGUUUCGAUGUAACUCGGAAUUAUCGCCGAUGCUGUGAUGUCGAGAUUCAUCGAUUCAACAGUGCCUUAUCUGCAAGCUGAUCAUCGUCAUCUUCAUUCAGUUAUCUCAGCUCGUCGUCUCCAGUAUCCCAUCUUGUCAGCAUAUGGGUUAGUUAUUGAAAAUUUUCUUCGGAUGAAUCGAUUUUUUUUCACCCCCCCCCCCCCUCCCCCCGGAAUAUACUUACUUAGUUCAAAAUGAUGGAAAAAGUACGGAAACGAAAAUUAAAUCGAUACAAUAAGUUACAUCGGUACCUAGUACUUACGUAGGUAUAUUGCUCUAUUUUUCCUGAAUUUUUUCAUAUAAAUGAUGAACGAGCGAAUAUAGGAUGAUUUUGAAUUCGCUUGUUGUACCAAAUUUUCCUCUUUUCGUUUUGGAAUACGAUUGCCUGUGCCUAUUAUGGGCUCUCGAUGCGUUGUUAUUAUUACAAGAACAGACGAUUGAUGAAUUUAGGAUCAUUCACACUUACUAUACUAACGAGUACUUAUAAGUAUUGUCAACAGUAUUUUAUUAUUUUUGAUGCGCAUGUUUCCCCUCCCUCCCCCUCCCAAACUGCGAAUUAUUUUGCUUCGUGUGUGAUAUCAAUUUUUAUAAUUAUUCGUAUAUUCAUUCGUGUUCGAUUCGCAAAAAUUCAUUGAAAUUCUUUGAUAUUUUCAUUAUUCUUUUUGAAAAUGAUUCGAUCGUAUUAUUCACUCGCGGAAAUCAUGUCGUUCGUGGUUCGGUUUCUGAUUUUGUGAGGUGAUUUAGGCUCUCUGUGUUCUUUAGAAAAACUGACGGAACAUGGGGCUGUAUAUUUUUUGGUUAUUUAGGAUAGGUACGAGUUUAACUACAACCUGAUAUUGUACCAGUUGCGGAUCAUAACUUUGAAUUCAAAGGUGAUAUGUUCGCAUGUAGCGCUGAUGGUAUGUGUAUUUGCGUGCAGAUCAUAGGUAAUAGGUAAUUGUUUUGAGGUUAGGAUGUUUGCAGGUAAUGUGCGGGUGGUGAGUGUUUUAUAUGUAUAGGGGAUGCGGUUGUGGCUGGUCUUGUUAAGUGCUGUCCGUCCUCGUCUGUUACGCAUCAACCCACAACCGUACUUUUUCCACUUUUCACGACAACCUGGCGGCGUGAUCCCUUGAAAAUUUCACUUUCUGAUAGUAUGGCGCCUACCUUAGCCAUAUGUAGUUGUGCAUCCGCGAAUCCACGUACGUACUCGCGCGGCGUAUCGUGGAGUCCAGCUGUUUUCGACUGCUGGUACGGAGCCGAUCAGCUGGAUUUUAUGCAGUAUCUACGAAGUAAGUCGAAACGCAUCCACGGUUCACGGGCUCUCGCUCAGGUUCCGUCAUGGUCAACGUUGUCAAAGCCGUAUGGAGCAGGGGGAGCGUCAUUCGGCGACUUGUCUGCUAGUGCUGCGGCGCAGCGGCCUGCUCAAUGGUGACGUAGUCAUCCUCUGGCUCACUCCUGCGACGCUCAGUGGGGUCGUCCUUACGGCGGCUUCGACUGUAUACCCAAGUCAUAAUAAGGGGUUGUCGUAAGAGGUUACGACUCAUACGGUUUAAACGUUUGCGUUUCAUCUAGUGGUUGUGAGCCGUUGGAUUGACCAGCUCACAACUGCGACCUUAGUUCCGGUUCAUCAAAGAUAUGGAGUGGGGAUGGUUUAUAUUGCCCUACGAAUCGCAAUAUUGCCAUUCUUGCCGUCGAGGAUGACCUGCCUUGGUUGGAUUGCCAGAUCUGCCUGCGAUCCAACCACACGCACAGUAAGUGGUGCACUCUAGGUUUUGCAUCACUUGCUUGCGUGAAAUGUCACGUGAGUUUUUGUGAGAGAAAUUUCAAACCUGAAAGGCUGACCUGGUUUUGUUGCUUCGGUCAACUUGCCAGGCAGGUGAGCGUGUGUGUAGCGAGUAUGGUGAUCUGGACUGCGUACGAUGUCUGGUUGUAAUUGAAUUUGUAUUUUUAAAUAAAAUUUUCAAUGACAAAUCAUCAAGGAGGAAUGAAUUUGUGAUGGGCUGCUAUAUUUGAUAAUCGUUGAAGUUAUGGAGUACCUACAUAUAUUUUAUCGCGCUGAAAUAUUUAAAACAUCGUUGAAAUUAACGCUAUCCUGUAAUUUGGGUAAAUUCAUGAUGAAAAGAUUCUAGAAAAAUGAAUUUUUGAUAUAAUUUUACUAAAAAAUGUGAUAAGUAAUUAUCUGUUUUGUUUUGAAGAAAAUUGGGUCCUGUACCAUGGUUCUUGUGUAUUUUUGUGUGAUACUACACCCCGCCUGUCCCUUAUUUUGUUUUUUGCUUCAUUUUUCACCAAUGCCGAAAUAGUUUUAAAUUAGAUACAAAAAUAUUCAGAAAAAUCGAUUUCCAAUCAUUCCCUUCACCCCCACCCCCGUUGUGCGAAUUUAUUUUGUUAUUAUGUUAGGUUGUUGAUGUUUGUAAUUUAAUGUUCAUGUAUUUGUGUUUAUUUACUUAAGGUUAACCUUGCAACUGUGUUGUAAUGAUCAAUCAAUUUGAUAUUCAUGUAUUUGUACAUAAUGUACCUUACUUAUGGCCAAAAUCAUGCUACUGUUUUGUAAUGAUCGAUCAAGGUUUUUCACGUCGAGCGGCCGGCGUGUUUUUUUAGCCCAGAUCGAUCAGUAAUUUGUGCCUAAGUGUUUUUUUUUUUUGUCUGCCGCUGAUUUGUUGAAUUUGAGUUUUGGUUGUGUGGUGUUUGAUUUUAUUAAUCACGUUUUUUACAGCGAACUAUCAACGAAAGAAUAAUCCGUAGAAAAGCAUCGCAAUGAAGCUACAUAAAUAUGUUGAACUGGAAAUGAUUGAUAAGCCACUCGCUCAUCGGCUAUGAUUAUGAUGAACUUGAUUGAAUUCAGAAACUAAUAGAUAUAAAUGAAGUUUUGAA